AAUUAUUUCAGAAGCUUUGCGAUUUUGGGUCUGGGGGAGAAGAAAAACUCUUACGAUUUUGGGUCUGGAAGAUAGAAGAGAUCGCCGCCGCCGCCGCCGUCGUCUUCGGGUCUGGAAGAGCUCUUUGUCGUCAUCUUCGUGUGGGCUCUUAUGGAGAAGGUGAAGAAAAAGGAAGAAUCCAUGGCAAUGUUUGGCCACAAAAUGCAAGGUUGUUAAGGAGAAGGUGAAGGAACCAAGCAAAUCCACAUAGAGGCCAGGCCAUACAGAAUGCAAGAGUUACUUGACGUCAGGGGUGUGCAAGUACGGAAGAGCUUGUAGAUACUAACACACAAGGAGCGAACCUCUGUUCUAGAGACCUGUCGUACGAAAUUCCAAUAAGCAACAUCCAAUUGUUUCUAGUAAUCAUGCAUCAAGCAUUAACAUUAGUCAUUAGCCUUUUUUUGGAUGGACAGCUGCUUUGGGUAAAAACUGCUCCAAACCUUUUUUUGGUUACCAAUUUCAGGAAGGGAUGGGACCUCCGAUUUCUCUUAUCACUACAAGCUUCGCAACGAGCUCGAUAGUUCGUGUAUUGGAACUGUGUAUUGUGUAUUGGAACCAAUGACUAUAUUAUAUUGGACAAUUAUUUGUAUUUUUGGAUGGAUGGCUUUUUAUUUGUUGUUAUUUUUGGAUGGUAUGAGACUUUUUAUAUGUGGAAAUAUGAUGUUGGUACUUGGUUCCAGGUGGUUCCAGGUGUUUUAUAUGUGAAA